GGUAACUGUAAGUUUACUUGUUUAUUUAGAAAAGUCCAGAGUCAAUGGCAUGCAAACUCAAACAGGGCCUUAGAGAGCACUAAGUUCAGUUCCCUCACUUCCCAGGGGUGGUAAGUUAGGCUCCAAAAGGUAAGGGGCUUGCCCAAAACACAUACAAAAAGGAAGUGCCUGACCCGGGCACUCUAAAAUCACAAACACAGCUUUCCUCUCCAAUCUCUAUACUCAAGAACAGAGGAGGACUCAGAACUAUAAUUGUGUGACUCACAUCAGUCAGUGUCUCUGAAAUAUACAAUCCUAAGCAAUGUAGUUAAGCCUCCUAAGUCCACCUCCUCUCCCCUACCUGGGGAGAUCAGCAUUAAUGAUGAGCUGAGGUAAAAGAGCUUAGAGGCUUGAAGGGGCCACAAAGGGAUUUGCAGUGCAGGG
rnacentral:lncRNA from 1 species